rnacentral:siRNA from 1 species
AUGCGGUCAACCUCUAUCUGCUA